GAUGAAGAACGCAGCGAAAUGCGAUAAGUAAUGUGAAUUGCAGAAUUCAGUGAAUCAUCGAAUCUUUGAACGCACAUUGCGCCCCUUGGUAUUCCGGGGGGCAUGCCUGUUCGAGCGUCAUUAUAACCCCUCAAGCUCAGCUUGGUGUUGGGGCCUGCCAACUGGCAGCCCUUAAAAUCAGUGGCGGCGCCAUCUGGCUCUAAGCGUAGUAAUUUCUCUCGCUAUAGGGUCCCGGUGGAUGCUUGCCAACAACCCCCAAUUUUCUAUGGUUGACCUCGGAUCAGGUAGGGAUACCCGCUGAACUUAAGCAUAUCAAUAAGCGAGGA
rnacentral:misc_RNA from 1 species